rnacentral:lncRNA from 1 species
CGAUCUUAAUAAGGAAGAAACUGGUGCCUAAGGCUCUAAGCUCUAUUUGUGAGAGAGAGUGUGCCUUAAAUCAUUGCUUUGACUGUGUAACUUCUUUGCGCUCAAUGGCUUGCAAGGAUGGGUCUCUAACAGAGCUGUUAAACGGGCUCAGCUACAAGAGUUGUUGCAAGUGUGCACCUGUCUAGUAACAGCAAGUUAAAAGAUAGGUGCUUGAAUAAAUCAGUCAACAGGUUUUAUGAAAGACUUGGGAGAAGAGAGGACAGCAGAAAGUAGCUGUAAUGCUAAUCAAAAAUGAAAGAUGUUCUGAAAGCAUGUGAGAACAGGCAAAUGUUAGCAGGUGUUGCAAAUGUCCAGGCUUAGAAGCAGAGUUUGAACCACAAUGGGUAAAACUACUUUGACAUAGGUUAAACAGUAGUAAAAAUGCUAGUUUAGCCAUGUAAUCUCAGAGAAGGAAAUUCUCAUUUAGGAGUGGAUCGGAAUGCCUUGGACUGUGAAGUUUUGGUUUCUUUAAUAGAGAAUCUUCUAUCCAGCUUGGGCCUGAACUACUUACACUGUGUGUUCACUUGAUUGUUCCUUCUUUGAAUGGUUUAUUUUUCUUUUUUUUUUUUGUGUUGGAAAAUCCAGGUCUUAAGCUACCUCUUGCAGCACCUCUAUUAAUGUAAGCUUUCUUAGUGACCAUUUCCAUUGUAUUUCAGAUCAUCAGGAGCAGUUUCCAAGGAGACUACCUCCUUGUGGGUUGAAUCUUCAGCAGGUGCAUAUUAGCUCAUUUCCAGCAAAGUCUGCAGGCAGAAAAUCAACUUCUCUCUUGGCUGACCUUUCCUCACCUGCUUCCCGUUUUAUCCUCUCAUGGAUGCAACUUUCCCUGCAGGAAAAAGUGAAUGAGGCCUUUUGUGAGGGGUGAGGACUGGGGCAUUUACACUGAUGUGAUUAUUCAAACUACUGUGACCAUAAAGCUAUGGAGAUGGCAGUGACCUUUUAACCUUGAUGAAAUCAAUAACGGACCAUCUUAACUUCAAGUCAUCUGUUGUUCAGUUUAGACAUACUGCAGUAAAAUAUACAG